rnacentral:rRNA from 1 species
UACGUAGGGUGCGAGCGUUGUCCGGAAUUAUUGGGCGUAAAGAGCUCGUAGGCGGUCUGUCGCGUCGAUCGUGAAAACUUGGGGCUUAACCCUGAGCUUGCGGUCGAUACGGGCAUGACUGGAGUUCGGUAGGGGAGACUGGAAUUCCUGGUGUAGCGGUGAAAUGCGCAGAUAUCAGGAGGAACACCGGUGGCGAAGGCGGGUCUCUGGGCCGAAACUGACGCUGAGGAGCGAAAGCGUGGGGAGCGAACAGG